UAGACCAAAAUUUGGAGGGACCAUAUGAAAGAUAUUGCUUUGUAUGACCCUGGAAUCCUGGCAUGACACAGGCGUGGGGGCUGGGGAAUGAUAUGGUUUGGAUUUGUCCCCUCCAAAUCUUAUUUGAUACGUGACUUCCACUGUUGGUGGUGGGGCCUAAUGGAAGGUAUUGUAUCACGGGGGCAGAUCCCUUAUGAAUAGCUUAACGCCAUUCCCUUGGUAAUGAGUGAGUUCUCACUCAGUCACUAGAAAUCUGUUUGUUUAAAAGCGUGUGGCACUUUCUUCAUCUCUCUCUCUCUUGCUCCUGCUCUCACCAUGUGAUACACUGGUUCCCCAUCGCCUUCCGCUAUGAUUGUAAGUUUCCUGAGGCCCUCAGCAGAAGCAGAUGCCUCAUCAGAAGCAGAUUCCUGUACAGCCUGCAGAACAAUCCCAUUUCACUACUGCACACCUACAGGAGCCCAGCUCUGUGACAGGCUUUAUGGGGAAUCUUGAACAGACCGAAGACACUGUUCUCUCUGCCUGAAGCUGUGAUCUUGUGAGGAAAGGAGGCCUGAAGAGCAGGAGACUUCUCUCUGUAGCUUCAGGACAUCAUGGGUCAAGAAAUCAGGACUGACCACAUAAUGGGAGGAGUCAUGAGAGAUCAGGCGUGUAUGUAUGAGAAGAGAACUUUCCCAGGUUAACCUCAUAUCUUCCUUGGGACACACGAAGGCACGGCAAAGCCGGAUUGCCCCCAUAGCUCUUCUCAAGCAGUUUCCCUUUCCUCAUUUCCCUUUAGUGUUACUAUCUUUCAUAAAGAAUAAAGACUUGUCAGAGCUGAAAUCCCA
rnacentral:lncRNA from 1 species